UGGGGAAAAGAGAAAGAAGAGGGAAAGAAGAUUAGGGUUUUGAGGAAGGGGAGGAGAUCGGAUCAGAACCGACGCCGGAGAACCGAGUCCCCAAUCUAAACCGUUGAAUAGCUCGAGGCAAGGUGCUCUCACGAAUCGCACCUUCCUAUCUCGACAAAACGUUCAAGAACUUCAGCGCUAUCUGGUUAAGUUCUGAAGUGAAGGCGGCCAAGAUCGGCGUUCAAAUCGGAGUUUAAAGAUAACGUGAUUUUCGGAAAGAGAAGGCAU